AAAUUGAAGAGUUUGAUCAUGGCUCAGAUUGAACGCUGGCGGCAGGCCUAACACAUGCAAGUCGAACGGUAACAGGAAGCAGCUUGCUGUUUCGCUGACGAGUGGCGGACGGGUGAGUAAUGUCUGGGAAACUGCCUGAUGGAGGGGGAUAACUACUGGAAACGGUGGCUAAUACCGCAUAACGUCGCAAGACCAAAGAGGGGGACCUUCGGGCCUCUUGCCAUCAGAUGUGCCCAGAUGGGAUUAGCUAGUUGGUGAGGUAACGGCUCACCAAGGCGACGAUCCCUAGCUGGUCUGAGAGGAUGACCAGCCACACUGGAACUGAGACACGGUCCAGACUCCUACGGGAGGCAGCAGUGGGGAAUAUUGCACAAUGGGCGCAAGCCUGAUGCAGCCAUGCCGCGUGUAUGAAGAAGGCCUUCGGGUUGUAAAGUACUUUCAGCGGGGAGGAAGGUGUUGUGGUUAAUAA
rnacentral:rRNA from 2 species